GUCCGUUACACUCAGCCCCGUCAACACAUCCUCUUACUCUAAAUUACUGUUGAUGCAUCAACGUUCCACCUCCAACAUCAACAUCUCAUCGGCUGCUGCGAAGAUGUUGCAAUCCACUGGGAUCUCCAUUUCCACUGAUUCCUCUUCGGAUCAUCACAACAUCAAUAAUGAUGUCAGAAGCUCUCUUCCUGAACUCCUCGGCGAUACCGAUACUAGAUUUCUAGCGGAGAGAAAUCUCAACAGGCUUAAUAAUAAUAACAAUCCGUGUGCUUCCCCUUGCUCCCGUUCUCUCAAUUUACAGCGAUCUACAAGCAGCUGCGAUCCCACCUUGUUUCAUUCACUCAAAUCUGCAAAGCUGCCUCCAGUGGGCCCUUGCUCCAAGAUCCCUAUUGAUGCUUCUAGAAAAACAAGGAAAGUUUCUAGCCAAGAAGAUGUGCAAUCUCUCAAGCUGCUGCACAACCACCACCUGCAGUGGAGAUUUGUCAACGCAAAAGCACAGGCUUCCACUCAAGCUCAGACAUGCGAAACUGAGAGAAACCUGUAUUCCCUCGGUGUCAAGAUAACAGAAUUAUACAACUCAGUGAAAAGAAAACGCGUUGAGCUUGGCCUUCUGCAGAGAAUCAAACUUCUAUGGACCAUCGUUGAAGCUCAAAUGCCAUAUCUGGAUGAAUGGGCAGCUUUUGAAACGGAUUAUUCAGUAUCCCUGUCAGAAGCGAUUCAAGCUUUGUUGAAUGCCUCACUUCAAGUUCCAAUCAGUGGAAAUGCUAGAGCUGAUAUUAGGGAGGUAGGGGAGGCAUUGAACUCUGCAGCAAAAUUGAUGGACACAAUAGCUUUUCACAUGAAAGCCUUAUGCCAAAGGAGAACCAAAGUUUUCAAAGGAGGAAGGUUGUUUGAGACCAGCCUAAUUGUGUCAUCCAAAGGAAAACAAUGCGCCAUGAAGGCAUAGUGUUAGAAAGAGGGUCCCGUGUUUGCUACAAAAUCUGAACAGUUAGUUAAUUAGACUCAAAAGGUGGAUAAAAAGAAUGCUUGAUGGUACUCAAAAGGCUGAAGAAACAGAACAUUUGAUCUCAGAAGUAGCUAGGGUGACUGGAGGAGAAAGAGGUCUUAUUGAAGAAUGUGGGGAUCUGUUGUCAAUGACAUAUAAUUCACAGGUCUGCUACACCAUAAUUCUGUUCAAAAUUAAUUAUACUACUGAUAUCUUAUUGUAUUCUGUGCCCAUUCCCUGAGCUCAUCAAUCACUUGGAUAAGAAGAAAGAAAAAUAUCCAACUCCUAAUUAAUUACCAUGUUUCGGAUGCCCCUGUUAUUGUAACCACUAAAUGACGGU